rnacentral:rRNA from 1 species
ACGGAAAGGCCUCAGCUUGCUGGGGUGCUCGAGUGGCGAACGGGUGAGUAACACGUAGGUGGUCUGCCUUUCACUUCGGGAUAAGCUUGGGAAACUGGGUCUAAUACCGGAUAUUCACGGCACCGUGGUUGGUGUGGUGGAAAGCUUUUGCGGUGGGAGAUGAGCUUGCGGCCUAUCAGCUUGUUGGUGGGGUAAUGGCCUACCAAGGCGGCGACGGGUAGCCGGCCUGAGAGGGUGUGCGGCCACAUUGGGACUGAGAUACGGCCCAGACUCCUACGGGAGGCAGCAGUGGGGAAUUUUGCACAAUGGGCGGAAGCCUGAUGCAGCGACGCCGUGUGGGGGAUGAAGGCCUUCGGGUUGUAAACUCCUUUCGUCAGGGACGAAGUUUGUUUGACGGUACCUGGAUAAGAAGCACCGGCUAACUACGUGCCAGCAGCCGCGGUAAUACGUAGGGUGCGAGCGUUGUCCGGAUUUACUGGGCGUAAAGGGCUCGUAGGUGGUGUGUUGCGUCGUCUGUGUAAUCCAGGGGCUUAACUUUUGGUUGGCAGGCGAUACGGGCAUUGCUUGAGUGCUGUAGGGGAGACUGGAAUUCCUGGUGUAGCGGUGAAAUGCGCAGAUAUCAGGAGGAACACCGAUGGCGAAGGCAGGUCUCUGGGCAGUUACUGACGCUGAGGAGCGAGAGCAUGGGUAGCGAACAGGAUUAGAUACCCUGGUAGUCUAUGCUGUAAACGGUGGGCGCUAGGUGUGAGCCUCUUCCACGGGGUUUGUGCCGUAGCUAACGCUUUAAGCGCCCC